GUCAGCCGGAUGCACACUGGAGUAACAGGGUCCAAUUCAUGGCCAAAAAGUUUUAACACGUUUUUAUGGUGUAUUAUGUAUGUACUAGCGAUAAAAUUGUGAAUUUAGAUAUUGAGGAAGCAUUUUGGAUUAUAAAUAGCCAUAUUAAUCCACUUAAAGGCUAGAAAUGAUUUCUUAUAACCUCUCCAAGGACAACGUUUAUUUUCACCCCCAAAAAUCGCUUGAAGCGUCGAACAUUUUUAUUUGACAACAGAGAA